UCACACACAAUUGAAGCUUGGGCGAUCAACCAUGGGCGCCACGCUACCAGGCUUGCUCUCUGCGCUUGUGCUGCUUCUCCUCCCGGCUUCCCUUCUCCGUGUCCGAGACCACCACCUCAGCCGGCGAGAGGCGGAGGGCGGCCUGCACCCGGUCGUGCUGAUCCCCGGCCUGUCCUGCCCCGACCUGGAGGCGCGGCUAACCGACGCCUACCGGCCCUCCAUGCCGGCCGGCUGCAGCCGGGAGGAGGGGCGGUGGUUCGGGCUGCUGACGAACCGCACCUGGGAGCUGGACCCCGAGCACGCCGCCUGCUUCGUCGACCAGAUGCGCCUCGUCUACGACCCCGUCCUCGGCGACUUCCGUAACCUUCCCGGCGUCGAGACGCGCGUCCCCGGCUUUGGCUCCGCCCGCGGCUUCGGCUCCAAGAUUCCAACACACCCGGAGUUUUGUUUGGAAGCACUGAGGUCUGCACUGGAAAGCAGCAGACUUGGCUACCGCGAGGGAGAAACCCUCUUCGGAGCUCCCUACGACCCGCGGUACGCUCCCCCGAUGCCCGGCCAGGCGUCCCAAGUCUACUCCCGCUACUUCCGCCGGCUGGCGACGCUCAUCGAGGACGUGAGUAGGAGGAACAACGGCAGGCCCGCUAUCGUCCUCGGCCACAGCUUCGGCGGUGCGGUGGCGCUCGAGUUCGUCAGGAACGCCCCGCUCCAAUGGCGGGGCACCUUCGUCAAGCGCCUCGUCACGGUGGCGCCGGCGUGGUCCGGGGGCUACGUCCUCCCCCUGAUGGCCUUCGCCUCGGGCCCGGUAGGGUUUCUCUUCGUCCCGGCAGCUCCGCAGCUGGCCAUGCGAUCCAUGUGGAGGACCUUCGAGACUGCCCUGGCGAACCUGCCGUCCCCGGCGGUGUUCGGGCGCCGGCCACUGGUGAUAACCAGGAUCCGGAAUUACUCGGCCCACGACAUCGCCGACCUGAUCGUUGCCGCCGCCGGUUCCGCCGACGGCGUCCGCCCGUUCAGAGACCGCGAGCUCCCGAAGAUGGACUACUUGGAGGCGCCCAUGGUGCCGUGGACCAGUAUCGUUGGGGUGGGUAUCCCGACGCCGGAGCAGCUGAUUUACUGGGACGGCGACUUCGAUAGACAGCCUCAAGUGGUGCACGGCGACGGCGACGGUAUCAUCAAUCUCGCUAGCAUGCUGGCGUUGGAGGACAAGGUGGGUAAGCAGCCCGGUCAAAAGGAGCGCUUCAAAUCCAUCAAGUUUCCUGGGGUUCCACACUCUGCAUUAGUCACGGAUGAACGGGCGCUCAGCGUACUCGUGGAUGAAAUUGGACAGGCAAAUCAUCGCUAGGCUCAAAACUACAGGACUAUUAUUAUCUCGUUUUUUCGCGAAAUUAUUAUCUCGUACUGUAUAUAUUAAUUAUGAUUGUUACAUGGUGUGCAUGCAUGCACUGUGCAGUUUGUUCAAUAAUAAAGAAGCUUUAAUUUUA